GGGUUGUGAGGUUAAGCGACUAAGCGUACACGGUGGAUGCCCUGGCAGUCAGAGGCGAUGAAGGACGUGCUAAUCUGCGAUAAGCGUCGGUAAGGUGAUAUGAACCGUUAUAACCGGCGAUUUCCGAAUGGGGAAACCCAGUGUGAUUCGUCACACUAUCAUUAACUGAAUCCAUAGGUUAAUGAGGCGAACCGGGGGAACUGAAACAUCUAAGUACCCCGAGGAAAAGAAAUCAACCGAGAUUCCCCCAGUAGCGGCGAGCGAACGGGGAGCAGCCCAGAGCCUGAAUCAGUGUGUGUGUUAGUGGAAGCGUCUGGAAAGGCGCGCGAUACAGGGUGACAGCCCCGUACACAAAAAUGCACAUGCUGUGAGCUCGAUGAGUAGGGCGGGACACGUGGUAUCCUGUCUGAAUAUGGGGGGACCAUCCUCCAAGGCUAAAUACUCCUGACUGACCGAUAGUGAACCAGUACCGUGAGGGAAAGGCGAAAAGAACCCCGGCGAGGGGAGUGAAAAAGAACCUGAAACCGUGUACGUACAAGCAGUGGGAGCACGCUUAGGCGUGUGACUGCGUACCUUUUGUAUAAUGGGUCAGCGACUUAUAUUCUGUAGCAAGGUUAACCGAAUAGGGGAGCCGAAGGGAAACCGAGUCUUAACUGGGCGUUAAGUUGCAGGGUAUAGACCCGAAACCCGGUGAUCUAGCCAUGGGCAGGUUGAAGGUUGGGUAACACUAACUGGAGGACCGAACCGACUAAUGUUGAAAAAUUAGCGGAUGACUUGUGGCUGGGGGUGAAAGGCCAAUCAAACCGGGAGAUAGCUGGUUCUCCCCGAAAGCUAUUUAGGUAGCGCCUCGUGAAUUCAUCUCCGGGGGUAGAGCACUGUUUCGGCAAGGGGGUCAUCCCGACUUACCAACCCGAUGCAAACUGCGAAUACCGGAGAAUGUUAUCACGGGAGACACACGGCGGGUGCUAACGUCCGUCGUGAAGAGGGAAACAACCCAGACCGCCAGCUAAGGUCCCAAAGUCAUGGUUAAGUGGGAAACGAUGUGGGAAGGCCCAGACAGCCAGGAUGUUGGCUUAGAAGCAGCCAUCAUUUAAAGAAAGCGUAAUAGCUCACUGGUCGAGUCGGCCUGCGCGGAAGAUGUAACGGGGCUAAACCAUGCACCGAAGCUGCGGCAGCGACGCUGAUGCGUUGUUGGGUAGGGGAGCGUUCUGUAAGCCUGUGAAGGUGUACUGUGAGGUAUGCUGGAGGUAUCAGAAGUGCGAAUGCUGACAUAAGUAACGAUAAAGCGGGUGAAAAGCCCGCUCGCCGGAAGACCAAGGGUUCCUGUCCAACGUUAAUCGGGGCAGGGUGAGUCGACCCCUAAGGCGAGGCCGAAAGGCGUAGUCGAUGGGAAACAGGUUAAUAUUCCUGUACUUGGUGUUACUGCGAAGGGGGGACGGAGAAGGCUAUGUUGGCCGGGCGACGGUUGUCCCGGUUUAAGCGUGUAGGCUGGUUUUCCAGGCAAAUCCGGAAAAUCAAGGCUGAGGCGUGAUGACGAGGCACUACGGUGCUGAAGCAACAAAUGCCCUGCUUCCAGGAAAAGCCUCUAAGCAUCAGGUAACAUCAAAUCGUACCCCAAACCGACACAGGUGGUCAGGUAGAGAAUACCAAGGCGCUUGAGAGAACUCGGGUGAAGGAACUAGGCAAAAUGGUGCCGUAACUUCGGGAGAAGGCACGCUGAUAUGUAGGUGAAGUCCCUCGCGGAUGGAGCUGAAAUCAGUCGAAGAUACCAGCUGGCUGCAACUGUUUAUUAAAAACACAGCACUGUGCAAACACGAAAGUGGACGUAUACGGUGUGACGCCUGCCCGGUGCCGGAAGGUUAAUUGAUGGGGUCAGCGCAAGCGAAGCUCUUGAUCGAAGCCCCGGUAAACGGCGGCCGUAACUAUAACGGUCCUAAGGUAGCGAAAUUCCUUGUCGGGUAAGUUCCGACCUGCACGAAUGGCGUAAUGAUGGCCAGGCUGUCUCCACCCGAGACUCAGUGAAAUUGAACUCGCUGUGAAGAUGCAGUGUACCCGCGGCAAGACGGAAAGACCCCGUGAACCUUUACUAUAGCUUGACACUGAACAUUGAGCCUUGAUGUGUAGGAUAGGUGGGAGGCUUUGAAGUGUGGACGCCAGUCUGCAUGGAGCCGACCUUGAAAUACCACCCUUUAAUGUUUGAUGUUCUAACGUUGACCCGUAAUCCGGGUUGCGGACAGUGUCUGGUGGGUAGUUUGACUGGGGCGGUCUCCUCCUAAAGAGUAACGGAGGAGCACGAAGGUUGGCUAAUCCUGGUCGGACAUCAGGAGGUUAGUGCAAUGGCAUAAGCCAGCUUGACUGCGAGCGUGACGGCGCGAGCAGGUGCGAAAGCAGGUCAUAGUGAUCCGGUGGUUCUGAAUGGAAGGGCCAUCGCUCAACGGAUAAAAGGUACUCCGGGGAUAACAGGCUGAUACCGCCCAAGAGUUCAUAUCGACGGCGGUGUUUGGCACCUCGAUGUCGGCUCAUCACAUCCUGGGGCUGAAGUAGGUCCCAAGGGUAUGGCUGUUCGCCAUUUAAAGUGGUACGCGAGCUGGGUUUAGAACGUCGUGAGACAGUUCGGUCCCUAUCUGCCGUGGGCGCUGGAGAACUGAGGGGGGCUGCUCCUAGUACGAGAGGACCGGAGUGGACGCAUCACUGGUGUUCGGGUUGUCAUGCCAAUGGCACUGCCCGGUAGCUAAAUGCGGAAGAGAUAAGUGCUGAAAGCAUCUAAGCACGAAACUUGCCCCGAGAUGAGUUCUCCCUGACUCCUUGAGAGUCCUGAAGGAACGUUGAAGACGACGACGUUGAUAGGCCGGGUGUGUAAGCGCAGCGAUGCGUUGAGCUAACCGGUACUAAUGAACCGUGAGGCUUAACCUUACAACGCCGAAGCUGUU
rnacentral:rRNA from 1 species